UACGGAGGGUGCAAGCGUUAAUCGGAAUUACUGGGCGUAAAGCGCGCGUAGGCGGCUAGAUAAGUCGGAUGUGAAAGCUCCGGGCUCAACCUGGGAACUGCAUUCGAUACUGUUUGGCUAGAGUAUGAGAGAGGAAGGUAGAAUUCCACGUGUAGCGGUGAAAUGCGUAGAUAUGUGGAGGAAUACCGGCGGCGAAGGCGGCCUCCUGGCUUAAUACUGACGCUGAGGCGCGAAAGCUAGGGGAGCAAACGGG
rnacentral:rRNA from 1 species